AUUAAUUUAACAAGUAAUAUCAAAGAGAAUAAUCGGGGAUAGAUCUAUUUCAUGGCGAACAGCGAAAUGUUUUGACCCAUGAGAGAGAAACGAAGGCGAAAGCAUCUAUCAAGUGUAUUUCUAUCGAUCAAGGGCGAGAGUAGGAGUAUCCAACCGGAUCAGAGACCCGGGUAGUUCCUACCUUAAACUAUGCCGACAAGGUUUUGUUUUUUUUAAUAAAAGCAGUACCAUAGGAGAAAUCAUAGUUCAUGGGCUCUGGGGGAACUACGACCGCAAGGCUGAAACUUGAAGGAAUUGACGGAAGGGCACCACCAGGAGUGGAGCCUGCGGCUUAAUUUGACUCAACACGGGGAAACUUACCAGGUCCAGACAUAGGAAGGAUAGACAGAACAAAGCUCUUUCUUGAUUCUAUGGGUGGUGGUGCAUGGCCGUUCUUAGUUGGUGGAUUGAUUUGUCAGGCUAAUUCCGAUAACGAACGAGACCUCCUCCUACUAAAUAGAUAUAUAUAUUUUCGAAUAUAUUGUAUCUUCUUAGAGGGACACUAUACACAAAGUGUAGGGAAGCUGGAGGCAAUAACAGGUCUGUGAUGCCCUUAGAUGUCCUGGGCUGCACGCGCGCGACACUGAUUGAUUCAACAAGUAGCUGGGUCGAGAGACUUGGCAACUCUUUUGAAAAUCAAUCGUGAUGGGGAUUGAUGUUUGUAAUUAUCAUCAUGAACGAGGAAUUCCUAGUAAAUGCAAGUCAUCAACUUGCGUUGAUUACGUCCCUGCCCUUUGUACACACCGCCCGUCGCACCUACCGAUUGAAUGGUCCGAUGAACACUUUGGAUUUUGAUAUAGUAAUUCUUCGCGGAAUUAUUCUAUUGAAAGAAGUUGUGUAAAUCUUACCAUUUAGAGGAAGGUGAAGUCGUAACAAGGUUUCCGUAGGUGAACCUGCGGAAG
rnacentral:rRNA from 1 species